AUAGAAUAAAUUAGAGCCAGAAGGACUUUGCCGGAGAGUUUUCCGGCAAGUCAUUCUUGGCUCAAAUCCAUUCC
rnacentral:miRNA from 1 species